rnacentral:rRNA from 1 species
GACGAACGCUGGCGGCGUGCCUAAUACAUGCAAGUCGAGCGCAGGAAACUGACGGAACUCUUCGGAGGGAAGGCAGUGGAAUGAGCGGCGGACGGGUGAGUAACACGUAAGGAACCUGCCUCAAGGAUUGGGAUAACUCCGAGAAAUCGGAGCUAAUACCGGAUAGUUCAACGGACCGCAUGGUCCGUUGAUGAAAGGCGCUCCGGCGUCACCUUGAGAUGGCCUUGCGGUGCAUUAGCUAGUUGGUGGGGUAACGGCCCACCAAGGCGACGAUGCAUAGCCGACCUGAGAGGGUGAUCGGCCACACCGGGACUGAGACACGGCCCAGACUCCUACGGGAGGCAGCAGUAGGGAAUCUUCCACAAUGGACGAAAGUCUGAUGGAGCAACGCCGCGUGAGUGAUGAAGGUUUUCGGAUCGUAAAACUCUGUUGUAAGGGAAGAACACGUACGAGAGGGAAUGCUCGUACCUUGACGGUACCUUACGAGAAAGCCACGGCUAACUACGUGCCAGCCGCCGCAGUAA